UUACUCCUACGGGAGGCAGCAGUAGGGAAUUUUCCACAAUGGACGAAAGUCUGAUGGAGCAACGCCGCGUGAACGAUGAAGGUCUUCGGAUUGUAAAGUUCUGUUGUUAGGGACGAAUAAGUACCGUUCGAAUAGGGCGGUACCUUGACGGUACCUGACGAGAAAGCCACGGCUAACUACGUGCCAGCAGCCGCGGUAAUAAU
rnacentral:rRNA from 1 species